rnacentral:rRNA from 1 species
CCCUACGGGGUGCAGCAGGCUAUUUACUAAAAGACAGGCCUCGAGGUGAAUUGAUCAGCGCGAUCAAGGGAACGGUCAGAGGUGGAUCUUAUGUAGACCCGGCUGUGGCUGGAAAAUUAUUGAAUAAUAUUGUGCAGAACAUUCCUCAACGAACACCCAGUGUAGAUAUUUCGCUCAGUGAUCGCGAGUUGGAAGUGCUUCGUCUGUUGGCGAUGGGGCUUUCCAACGCUGAUAUUUCCAGACGGCUUUAUUUAUCAGAGGGUACCAUUCGAAAUUAUAUGAGUGGUAUUUUUUCGAAAUUAAAUGUGUCUGAUCGCACUCAGGCUGUGGUCAUUGCUCUGCGGGGGGGC